AUUGAACGCUGGCGGCAUGCCUUACACAUGCAAGUCGAACGGUAACGGGCCUUCGGGUGCCGACGAGUGGCGAACGGGUGAGUAAUACAUCGGAACGUGCCCGAUCGUGGGGGAUAACGAGGCGAAAGCUUUGCUAAUACCGCAUACGAUCUACGGAUGAAAGCAGGGGACCGCAAGGCCUUGCGCGGACGGAGCGGCCGAUGGCAGAUUAGGUAGUUGGUGGGAUAAAAGCUUACCAAGCCGACGAUCUGGAGCUGGUCUGAGAGGAUGAUCAGCCACACUGGGACUGAGACACGGCCCAGACUCCUACGGGAGGCAGCAGUGGGGAAUUUUGGACAAAGGGCGCAAGCCUGAUCCAGCCAUGCCGCGUGCAGGAUGAAGGCCUUCGGGUUGUAAACUGCUUUUGUACGGAACGAAAAGCCUUCUUUUAAUACAGGAGGGUCAUGACGGUACCGUAAGAAUAAGCACCGGCUAACUACGUG
rnacentral:rRNA from 1 species